AUCUCCUGGAUUCUGUUAAAAUGCAGAUUCUGAAUCAGCAGGUCUGAGAUUCUGCAUUUCUAACAAGUUCCCAGGUGAUGGUGA
rnacentral:pre_miRNA from 1 species